rnacentral:rRNA from 1 species
ACUCCUACGGGAGGCAGCAGUGGGGAAUAUUGGACAAUGGGCGCAAGCCUGAUCCAGCCAUGCCGCGUGAGUGAUGAAGGCCUUAGGGUUGUAAAGCUCUUUUGCCCGGGACGAUAAUGACGGUACCGGAAGAAUAAGCCCCGGCUAACUUCGUGCCAGCAGCCGCGGUAAU